CAGGAUCUGAUGGUCUCUGAGAAGGUCCCUCCAGCCUCCAGCCCGGCCCCAGGCUGCCCCCCAGGAGCAAGUGGGCCCAGGGGACGGCAUGGUGGGCGCGGGCUCGUCCAGCCCUGGGAACCCAGCCCUGGGGGCCUCUUUCUCCUCCGACUCUCGCUGGGUCCCCCGAGUCAGCACAAGGCUCAACAAAUCCUAGCCUUGUGGUCACCGCUGCCGGUGGUCCCCCGUCCCCAUCCCCGGCAGGAGGUGCUUGUCUCUGAGCUGAGAUGAGCAAAGUCCCCAAGGCCCAGAGGGCCACCUUCCCAACCAGUGACAAGCCCCCCGGACACCAGGGAGCUCUUCACGCCAAGAGAAGGAGCGGCUGCCUCCUCCCGAGGCUGCUGGGUGCCUGUGGCUUUGGCCAGGCGGAGCCCUCCUCACGCGCCCUCCUGCCUGGCCCUGCCUCUGAGGUCCAGGCUCCAGCCCAGCACCUCUCUCCAGAACCUCCCUGAAGUGACGGGUACUUCCACGUCUCAGAGUCCCACAGGCGCACAGUGUGCUCAGGGAGCAGCGUUGUCACCCAAAGGCACCUGGGUCCCUGUGCCCCUCCCACCAGGCGCUGCCCAUUUCACCUCCUAAGGUGCCACUGCCCUUGGCGCUCGCCUCCUUCCUGACCAGCUGCCUCCUCUUGCCCUGGCCACUCCACCAGGUCCCCUUCCCAGUCCCCACGUCGCUCCUCCAGCUCCUCCCUGCCUCGCGGGCCCCCUGCCCUUCCCCCUCCCAGGCUGCUCUCCACCGACCCCUCCGGAGCCUUCCCUGACCUCGCUGGCCAGGGCCCUGGACUCUCCUCGGAGGCCCUCACCCACCCGGGGCCCCUGGCGCUAGGGGCGUCGGCCAGCCUUGGGCAGGGCUGGUGGAUGUCCCGAGGGGGCCGUCCUAGGCUCGUGGUGGCUGGCCCCAAGGCCUUGAUGUAGUCAGACCUUGGCCCCUGGCACCUGUGAAUGUCACCUGACUUGGAAAAGGUCUUUGCAGAUGUGACUGAGGGAAGGGUCUGGAGUGGCGGAUCAUCCUGGGUGUCCUGAAGUGCCUGUCACCUGUGCCUGAUGAGAAGGUGACGUGAAGAUGGGCCCUCGAGGGCCUUGGGGAGGCUGGCCGUGAAGACCAGAGGGACUGGCCACGAGCCAGCCAGGCCCACGCUCACCAGGAGUCGGAAGGGGUGAGGAACGAGUGUCCCCUGCAGCUUCUGGGAGGAGCAUGGCGGCUGACACCUUCAUUUCAGCCCAUUUUUAAGACCCGGGGCGGGUGGCCUCCAGACGGCCAGGGGAUAAGUGUGUGUCGUGUCAAGCCCUGAAUGAUUUGUCACAGCGGCCAGGGGACGCUGAUACACAGCGCACAAGUGAUGUGUGGGCUCCCAGUGGGGAACCCACCUUGGCUCCUCCCAGGCUGGGCAACCUUGAGCAAACCUCUCUCCCUCUCUGAGCCUCAGUCUUCCCAACCAAGGAAGCUAAGCCGUUUCCCCAAGGCCCCAGGCCUGACCCAGUCCUGCCCUCGACCUUCU
rnacentral:lncRNA from 1 species